CUGGGGACCCUGCACGGCCAUCCGCGAGGUGUCCCUGCUGCGGGACCUGAAGCACGCCAACGUGGUGACGCUGCACGACAUCGUGCACACCCCGCAGUGCCUGACGCUCGUCUUCGAGUACCUGGAUCGGGACCUCAAGCAGUACCUGGAUGAUUGUGGGAACGUCAUCAGCAUGCACAACGUCAGGGUG